rnacentral:tRNA from 1 species
AAGGAUUUAAGUUAAAGAAAACUAUUAGCCUUCAAAGUUGAAAUUAGGAAGCCCUAAGCCUUA